rnacentral:tRNA from 4 species
GGGACCGUAGGGUAGCUUGGUCCAUCCUGCCAGGUCGGGGAUCUGGCGACCGGCGUUCAAAUCGCCGCGGUCCCA